AGCGGGGUGGGGCAGUGGUAGCCCGAGCGGGUACCCGUCAAACAGAGAGCUAGACGAGGGUUCGAAUCCCUCCCCCGCUUCCA
rnacentral:tRNA from 1 species